rnacentral:rRNA from 1 species
GACGGUACCUGAAGAAUACCAUCGGCUAACUCCGUGCCAGCAGCCGCGGUAAGACGGAGGAUGCAAGUGUUAUCCGGAAUCACUGGGCGUAAAGCGUCUGUAGGUGGUUUAAUAAGUCAACUGUUAAAUCUUGAGGCUCAACUUCAAAAUCGCAGUCGAAACUAUUAGACUAGAGUAUAGUAGGGGUAAAGGGAAUUUCCAGUGGAGCGGUGAAAUGCGUAGAUAUUGGAAAGAACACCGAUGGCGAAAGCACUUUACUGGGCUAUUACUAACACUCAGAGACGAAAGCUAGGGUAGCAAAUGGGAUUAGAUACCCCAGUAGUCCUAGCCGUAAACUAUGGAUACUAGAUGUUGAACAGAUCGACCUGUGCAGUAUCAAAGCUAACGCGUUAAGUAUCCCGCCUGGGAAGUAUGCUCGCAAGAGUGAAACUC